rnacentral:tRNA from 1 species
UCCAGGGUGGCAUAGUGGUUUGAGCGUUGGACUAGGACUCUGGGGACCAGGGUUCGAAUCCUGGUUCGGCCAUGGAA